UACGUAGGGUGCGAGCGUUAAUCGGAAUUACUGGGCGUAAAGCGUGCGCAGGCGGUUCGUGAUGUCUGGUGUGAAAGCCCCGGGCUUAACCUGGGAAUUGCAUUGGAAACUAGCGGGCUGGAGUGUGGCAGAGGGGGGUGGAAUUCCACGUGUAGCAGUAAAAUGCGUAGAGAUGUGGAGGAACACCGAUGGCGAAGGCAGCCCCCUGGGCUAACACUGACGCUCAUGCACGAAAGCGUGGGGAGCAAACAGG
rnacentral:rRNA from 1 species